AAAAGGAUAUAGCUUGGUUUAUUCAUGUGCUGGGGCUGCUGUAACAAAGGACCAUGGACUCGGUGGCUUAAACAACAGAAGUUAAUUUCUUGACAGUUCUGGAGGCUGGAAGUCUGAGAUCAACAUGUGGGCAGGGUUGGUUCCUUCUGAGGGCUGUGAGGGAAGGAGCUGUUCCAGGCCUCUCUCCUUGGCUUGCGGAGGGGCCUGUGUCUUCACAUUGUCUUCCCUCUAGGGACACCAGUGGGAUUGUAUUGGGCCCACCUUAAUUCUCUCAUUUUAAUGACCUCUUUGAAGACUCUAUCUCUAAAUAAGUUUAUGUUCCGAGGUACUGGGUGUUAGAAUUUCAACAUGUGAAUUUUUGGGAGGCACAAUUCAGCUCAUAACACUUGAGAAACCGGGUCACAUAAAGAUUUCUGUUUUUCUUUCCAUUCCCCGUUUGUGAGCUUCUAGAGGUCUUCCUUGUUUUUCUAGUGUCUCACAAAUUGCCUAACAGUCUUUCAAUAAAUGUUAUUUAAAUUGAUUGACUAUGGAUGGACGCUUAUCGAUGUUUAAUGAGGUUAUAAUCUUAAAAAAUUUUUUGUGUGUGCAAAGUACACUGCCCUAGACUUCAUGUGGUCCCAGGCCUUUUACAAGCAAGUCUGAUGGACACUGAUUGGAUGAGGUCCUGUGGUAGGAAUCUACCUCAUGUUGCUGUAGAUUUCUGAAUUGCUUAAUCCUCCUUUCUGCUUUUGUGCAGUGUGCAUGUAGAGUGGGAGAAUUCAUCUGGGGCCACCAAAGAGGCUUGACGUCUCAACACCCUCAGAAACUUGUUUCUUCUUUUGUGUCUAAGAGUUUUUCAAAAGAAAAAGAAGAAAAGAAAUAGCGCUGCUUCAUUCAAACAUAGUAAAAGAUUCUAGGUGUUUGUAUUUUUAAGCACUCAAAGCGAGACUGUAAUAAGCAGAUAAUUGUCAUUGAGAGGUGGGACAUCAAAAGAAGGCCUCAAAAUAACAGAAGACUGAAUCUCAAGUCAUUUCCAAUGGAGGGGAAGCCAGAAGGGCCUGGCAGAUCUGGGAUCCAUCCUAGGCUAUGCCAAGAAAAUGAAUUAGCAGCUCAGCUUGAGGAAACACCGGAAAUUCUGGCAACUGCCCUAAAUGGAUUUUCUCACUCCUUUGAGCUUUGCCCACAGCCACUGAACGCAUUAUGUUACAAAGCUAAUUAUAUAAGAUUUAAGAGCCAAGGGAAGGCUGAUUCAUUUGAUAAGCUAAUUUCAGAGCGUAACUUGAGCCUGGAUGCAUGCGUUGCUUAACAACAGGAAUACUUGUUGAAAAAUGUGUCAUUAGGCGAUUUCAUCCUGUAAACACCACAGAGUGUACUUACCCAAACCUAGAUGGGAUAACCUACUACACACCUAUGCUGUAUGGUAUAGUCUAUUGCUUCUAGGCUGCAAAGCUGCAUAGCAUGUUACUGUACUAAAUACAGUAGGCAGUUCUGACACAGUGAUAAGUAUGUGUGUCUAAACAUAACUAAAUAUAGAAAAGGUACAGUAAAAAUAUGGCAUAAUCUAAUGGGACCACUGUCAUAUAUGUGGCUUUUCAUUGAUUGAAACAUCAUUAUGUGGUGCAUGACUGUACUUCUUGGAGGCAUGAGAAGUUAAAGAAUAAAACAAAAUGUACCCUUAGCUAUAGACAUUGCAAUUACCCUAAGUUUGCUGUCUAUGAAAGUUUAGGUUUUAAUGGGAUAUUUCUAUUUGUAGUCUCACUUAAUUUUUCAGACUUUAGACCAUUGUUUAGUGCUGAUUUUUAUGGCUACUUUAUGGGAGCGAGGACUUUCUUUUUUGGAAUAAGAAAUGCUUUAUUUUAUUCGGAAGGUGGGAUCAACUAAUGAAACAUUGUUAUCCACCCUGGCAUUGGGGUGAUUUUGGCUUUACCCUGUGACUUCUUUGAGAACUCAGGACAAUCCUAGAGCUUCUCGGGUAACCAUGUUUAUAAAAGCAUCCAUUUCCGCACUUAGGGAGGCUGAGGCAGGAGGAUCACUAGGAGUUCAAGACCAGCCUGGGCAAUAUAGCAAGAGCACCGCCCCCUCCACCCCCACUGCAAUCUCUCCAAAAAAUUAAACAAACUAGUUGGGCAUGGUGGUGUGCACCUGUAGUCCUAGCUACUCUGGAGGCUGAGAUGGGAGGAUUGUUUGAAUCCAGGAGUUUGAGGCUGCAGUGACCUAUGAUCACAUAACUGCACUUCAGCCUGGGCAACAGAGGAAACCCUGUCUUAAAAAAAAAAAAAAA
rnacentral:lncRNA from 1 species